GACGAACGCUGGCGGCGUGCUUAAAACAUGCAAGUCGAACGAGCACUUCGGUGCGAGUGGCAAACGGCUGAGUAACGCGUGGGUGACCUGCCUCGAAGUGGGGAAUAACUGCCCGAAGGUGGCUAAUACCGCAUGUGAUGGAUGAUCCAUUUCAUUCAUUAAAGCCGCAAGGCGCUUGGAGAGGGGCCCGCGUCCGAUUAGCUAGUUGGUGGGGUAAAGGCCGUACCAAGGCGUCGAUCGGUAGCUGGUCUAAGAGGAUGAUCAGCCAGACUGGGACUGGCGACACGGCCCAGACUCCUACGGGAGGCAGCAGUUAGGAA
rnacentral:rRNA from 1 species